UCAUUCUAUUGAACCAAAAUCAGCCGCUGCAACCAAAGCUUGUUCCAUGAUCAGGAUUCGAAACAUACACCAUCGAGUAGAAGGGAAGUGGUUGAAGAUCAAAUCGAUGUCCUUAAUGUUCCUUCUAUCUGUUACUUUGGAUCUUUUGAAAUCAUAUAAGGAAGCAAGACAAGUAAACAUUAAUAAAAGGAAGAAGAUAGUGAUCGAUUUCCAAGAGUCAACUUCUGCAACUCGAAUAGCAACAACUAAUAUGAGGAUUAGAAUCAAAAUUUGCUUGUCAAUCUACAUCUAAAAUUUAUGAAAUUUUGGUUAUACAAUAUGUAUUUGUA